AAGGACAUGUUUAUUUGCCGAAGCAGAAUAGGAUGGUGUUCAAAAAGGGAUGCAACGGACAGUUCAUCAGUUCGUCAUCACCAAACAUGUAUGCAAUCUGAAUGGAACACACGGGCAGGUCUUGAUUUGCGUUGCAAAAUUCUCUUUUCGCCUACCCCAUCUUGCUCUCCAUGAGCUAGCUUGGCAGCAAAAGGCUGCCAUCCUUAGCGGUGGUCAGGGAGCUGGGGGUUAAGGGCUUUGCCCAAAGGCUUUGCUCCAGUGUUGGGCAUAGUUUCUUUAACACAUCCUAGCCACCGAUUAUCAUCAUAUGCAGCCACGACAUAACAUUUGAUGCUUGCAAAGUCGAGUGAUUCCCUAAUUGUGCACUUACAGUUACACUGGAUUUGCACACCUCACUCACCUCUGAUGAAUGCGGUGUAUUUCUUAGCCAUAUUUAUUAGCCAUGUGGGCCUUUUCAAUAGUAUGGUAAGUACAGGUGUCUGCAAUUAUAUUAAAGAAGCUUCCAUUAAAUUUCAUUAUAGCAUAUUUGUAACCUUAAUUAAUUUUAUUAUUUACACCUGUGCUUGUUAUACUAUUUCAUGUCAGUUUGGCUGCCAUUAAAAAGGCCCAUUAGUGAUAUGAAACCAUGUGAUGCUACCUUUACGUCAAGAUAUCUCAGUAAUACCUUAAAAAAACAAAGACCAAAUUUUCUGGAGAUGUUCACGACAUUGAUAAAUUUUGAAAUAUAGGUUUUUUUGUUAUUGAAUGGUUUUUCAUAAUAUUUUAAUUGGUUAUUACAUAGUAAUUAUUCAUAUGGGGAUGGCAUAUUAUUUGUUCAAUAUAUUGAGCUGGACAAUAGCUUUAAAACAAUAUAAGGACCACUACUACAGCUUACAUUAAGAUAAAUAUAGCCAGCCAAAGUCAUACCCCCCCCCCCAAAAAAAAAAAAAAAGUCAACUUUGCUUAAAUCUCCCUCAAUAUUGAUUCCAAACACGGCCAAUAUCAGAUUCCUGAGUUACUCAUAUGACCAAAUCAGCAUGCCAAGUUUUGUUAAAAUCCAUGACAACAUUGAGGUCUGAAAGUGUGAUGAUUUGACAUGGAUUUUCCCCCUUCUCUGUCUCCUGCUUUUCAGUCCUAGUGUGUUUUUCACUUUCCCUGGACCCCCAUGUAGGUUAAUGGGUUGAUCAUGUGGCCCUCUGGUUGUCGGUGCCUAGGUCAGUCUUACCUGUUCUGUUUGUUUUCUGUUUUUUCUCUACUGUUUGUUAUUAGUUAUCAUUACUUGAUACCCUGUUUUGAGUUAGCGUGCUUGUGCUGAUUUAUUAUGUUCUGCUUGUACUUGUUUCAGUCCUUUUCCUAACUUGAUGUUUAAGUUCCCUCAUCCAGUGCUUAUUUAUUGCACUUCAUUCCACCUGUUGUCUCUUGCCCACCUUUGUUGUUUGGUUGUUUUUGAUUAUUCACACCUGCCCUUUGCUGAGUAUCAGUGUAUUUAAGCGCUUGCCUUUAUUCUUUUCCGCAGUCAGUUAUUUUGUAUAUUGUUCUGUGUUUGUUACUUUGUCUGAGGGUGUUCUAUGAAAGUAGCUAAAGAAAGCUAGACUUUGCCAAAAAACUAGAGCCAUCUCUAAACUUGGCCUCACGUCGUUCCACUACCGCAGUUCAACUUUAACUAAUCAAGGCUCAUACAAGACAGACUUGCAUAAUCUCAAUUUCAGCUCACACCCAAGAUAUUUAAGAAGCCCAAAUGAAUGGAUGAAUGAUAGAUCGAUCAAAUGAGUUGGAAAGCGUGUAAAACACGAGCGGUGUUUUUUUGGGGCUUUUUUCCCCCACUGCAGAACAAACGCUGCUGAUGGAGCUGUACGAAGAAUACAAACAUGUAAUCGCCAAAAAGGGCAAUACUGUGGCCAUAAAUACAGCCAGGGAGUUGGUUUGGCAAAGAAUUGUAGACAAACUAAAUGCGUAACUUAUGUAAAUGUUACAAGUGCCUAGUAGAGUGACACGGUGGUACCUUGAUUUAUACUCUCGCCUUAUAGCGGAAAAGUUCCUAGUUCAAUCCCCAUAGCCAAAAAGCAAUAUUCUGGGUUGUUCACGUGUCGUUCUUACUGUAUAAUGUUAUUCUAUAUUAUUUGAUCUUUGUAAAAUACUUUCAAUCACAUGCGUGUGAAAUGUUCUGCACAAAUAACCGUAUCUUGUCUUUGCUUUUACUAAUAAACUUUCAAAGUAGAUUGUGACUAAACAAAAUUGAAAAAUAUCUUCCUGUUCAUAUUAUUUUAAAGGGUUUUUUUCAAUUUCAGUCAUUGCAUCUCAUGUUUCACCUUUGUAAUAUGGGUACGCUUUUAUUUUAAUUAUGUUGGAAUUAUUUGUAAUGUUGAGAUGUGAUUUUUAUAGGUUUUAUUAUAUUUAUUACAUGACAUGAGUAGUGAGAGCAUGGAAUUUCCUCCAAUGGAACGAUCUUUACCAAUGAUUUCCAGUUUUGGGUUGUUUCAACAACAACAAGUGCGGUAUACAGAACAGCUUUUCUUUAUGUUCUUUUCCUGAAACAUGAGGGGAUGUUACCAUUACCCUUUUGUAAUGGGGGUAUCUUUUGGAUAUAACCAAGUUUUUAAGGGGCAUUAUUGCAUGUUAAAGUUGAUAUUUUAGUCUGUUGUAGGUUUUAUGAAUAAAAUUGUAUUUUGGAAUGGUAUCUUUUAGAACUGUUAACAUGGGAUGUUUUGUAUUGAGAGUGUUAAUUGUUUGUUGAUUUAAUUUCUCCAGGGGGAGGGACUGAAGUUUAUAUAAGCUCUUUGGAGGCCUUUACUUGAGACAGAAGUGUGCUAAUUGGUGUGGUUGUUAUUGAUGCAGGGUUUAAUAUAGCCUGCUUUGUGUGAUCAUUUUUGUUUUUAUUUUUAUUAAUAUGUAUUUUUGCACUUUUUCUGGAGAUCAGAAUAAAGGUUUGUCUCAGUAUUGGA